ACCCAGCCAGUCGCAGUCAAAUUUGAAAGUUCUAGGCUCUUUGAGUAAGUAUCCCAUGUCGCCUACAUAAAGUAUGUUGGCUUUAACACCAAAAACUAAUUGAUGAGGGGUAAACCCAGUGCCCUCAUGUACAGAAGUAUUGCACGAAAAAAUACAAAAACGUAUCCAAUCAUCCCAAUCCGUCUUUGUGCAGUAGUGUUUGAGAUAAUUAAUAAAACUACGGUGUGCUCUUUCAAGAGAACCCAACGACUGAGGAUGAAAAGCCGUGGAUGUUAUUCGCUGUAUUUUGAAAAUCCUACAGAAAUUCUUCAUUACCUGAUUAAUGAAGUUCCUCCCUUGAUCAGUAUGGAUAACCUGUGGGCAUCCAAAUCUACUGAUAAACUGUUCGGCAAGAGCAUGAGCAACGGUUACUGUAUCUAUGGUUUUUAAUGGAAUUGCAUCAGAAUAUUUAGUCAAAUUAUCUUGCAGACAGUAUAAUUUUUAUUUUUCUGACAAAGAGGACAGGUGCGAUCGAAUUCUGUAAUCUCCUUUGCCAUACCCGGCCAAUAAAACCGUUCGCGAAUAAGUUGGUGCAAUUUAAAAACACCCCUAUGACCUCCAAUUGCAGAUUAAUGAUGCUCCUGAAUGAUUUGAGAAUGACUAGAUUCCGGUGGAACUACAAUUUCUCCAGUGCACAAGGGUUGAAUCUGUCCGGAUCUAUCAAGAUACUAAACGUUUUCGUAUCCAAGAACAAAAAGAAGACGGAGUGUUUAUCGUGCGGAAAAGCCAUGGCAUUGCCGAUUUCAAAUUGAUAUUGUUGCACUUCCUCUACUGAGAAUCCAAUUCGGUUUAACAAACCCAUAGUGGUUUGAGAUGUGUCCAUACAAUUUAAAGGAAUAAAAUGAACGAGAUUGUCUUCCCACAUGAAAAGGUAGUCCUUUACAUCGUGAAUAGUAGUAUCUGAAGGCGGCACCCCACCUGUACAGGCGAGCACCCCUUCCAAACGUUGUAAAUCCAAAUUAGAAUCAGUGUCAGACCGUAUGGGUUUUGGUUGAGGAACAGGAUUUAUGCAGGUUUCUACGGGGUUUCGUGAUAGUACAUCGGCGUUGACGUUAACCUUUCCAGAUGUUGGAUCCUUGACAUUGUGUAACCAUACCAAGGGUCUAUGGUCAGUGAGCAAUGUAAAUUGUCGGCCAUAAAGUGAUCUGGAGGCAUACGCCACUGGGAGAUCUUUUCCCACUGGUCCCUCGCUAAGGAUGGCGCCAAUAGCAUAAUUAGAAGCAUCCGUAGCAACGAGGAAUGACUGUGAAAAAUUCGGGAACUGCAAUAGAGGUUCCGCACAGAUAAUAUCUCUUAAGGUUUCGAAGGAAGUUUGCACGUCAGCUGUCCAACGAAAAGGCUGAAGGGUCAAUCCAGCGUUUUGUAACCGAGCUAAAAGGGUUCUCAACUUACGCCCAUGCUCUUCGAUGGAGGCUGCAUAAAUGACAAUAUCGUCCAUAUAAACCAGAAGCUCGAUGCCCUGCAACCCGGAUAGUAUCAAGUCCAUAACCCUUUGAAAAGUGGCUGGAGCAUUCUUAAGACCAAAGGGCAUCCUGUUGAACUCAUAAUGACCAUGAGGGGUAGAAAAGGCCGUUUUAGACUUCGAUGCAGGAUCUACAGGAAUCUGGUGGAAACCAGAAGCUAAAUCGAGAGUGCUGAAGUAUUUCGCCCCUCCUAACUGAUUCAAAAUUUCGGUAAUAUUUGGAAGAGGAAGAACCAGGUUUUUUCGGGACUACCCAUACAGGUGAAUUGUAAGGGGAUACCGGCGGCUGGAUAAUUUUGUCCUUAAGCAAGGAAUCUACCUGAGUUUCUAUUUCAUUUUUAUGGAUCGGAGGGUACCUAUACUGCUUGGAUACUGGCCUUUUCCCCUUCUUGAAGGUGACUCAGAUCCAAGUAAUUAAGCAGUGCACUAAAUCUUUGAGCCUGAUCUGCUGAUCUAUUUGCGUUCGGAUUUCCCGUUCGAGAAGAACGCGAUGCAGGAGGUUUCAGUUCAAAAUCUUCCAAUUCAACCUGCGGUAUUAUACCAGGACCAGCAUCAAUUCUCCUAACAUAACCCGAUGUAAUAUCACCCUUCGUUGGGACAGAAAUCAAAACUUUAUUCCGAGGAGGCAACUCAUAUGAUGAGAAAAUGGGAGUGCGCAAAUUUUCAUCACCAAAUUCCACAAGGCAUGGAAAAUUUUCUCCAAACCUCAGUGUAGCCCUUUGCUUUUCCAAAAAUGACGUCCCUAAAAUUCCGGCCUCCCUAACAGGAAAGUCAUCUUCCACCACCUAAAAAUGUACAGGGAUGCCAUGCACACUAAGAACUACAUCACCCCAUGUCUUGACUAUUCCUGCACUAAUGCCGGUUAAGUUGCGAGCCGGUGUCUACAAGGAAUUUAGCGAGACCAUUCCGAAAAUGUUCGUGUUCUAAAGAAAUAUAUGGCGAUUGUCUGAUCUGCUUUAAACUGGUUUCGCGGCCAACGCGGUGGAUCCGGCGCGAAAGAUAAGGGGUUCCCUCCGUGCUGUGCCCGUCGACGAAACCCUCUUUGAGUUUAAAGGAUUUUCCUGCUGCCUAGAAGUUGAAGGAAUUGGUGAUUGCGGUUUCCUCCAAACACGGACUUGCAUUACCUACUAUACUUCUAGUAGAAGUCGAAGACUCAGGUAGCGUCAUUACCGGAUUUUCGGGUAUAUUUCCAGCCGAAGGUUGCGAUGAAGGUCGAGCAGGUGCUACGUUGGAAACAUUUAAUUGAUUGCCAACACCGGGUGAAGAGAAGAGAAUCGCAUUAGAAGUUGUUGCCCCAAAUGAAACUGGCGUAUUAUUUACCGUGCUACUAGCAGGAUUUGGCACACCACCCGUCACACCCCAGCUCUAUAUUGUAGAUUGUUCGGGGACAAGAAGUGACUCCUGCAACUGAGUUUCAGUAUUAUGCAAGGAAAAAGAAGACCCUAUGCUAGGUGUACGACUCCGUCCGUCGACGACCCGUUGAUCCGGUUGACCUCGGCUUACGCGAAGAACCCUCAGUACUCCGGCUCGAUGGUCCCCAAUUCAGCAACAAAUACUCCGGCUCGAUGGUCCCCAAUUCAGCAGCAGGUACUCCAGUAAAAUUUGUCCACAGUCAGCUGCUUCAGGAAUAAUGCAACGAUGACGUGGACGAGGUACGCGUGAUUUCGGUGGAUGGCUUGCACGGCAGCCGAAAUCACCUGUCUCCGGUAUUUACCCUUCGCUCUUGGAGAAACUGUGCCAAAACCCAAGAGGGAGAAGUUGCACUAAACUUUGUCCACUUAUUUAUAACGUAACAGUUCAAUAAAAUAGU